rnacentral:lncRNA from 10 species
GUUUUUUUAAACAAGCAAACUGAACAAAGGGGACACAAGAGGCGAUUUCAAGAAACACUAAUAGGAUUGUGAGAAAGUUGGCCAAGGAAGAGGAACAGCCAAUAAACGGUGACUUGUCAAGACAGUUAGGACCCUGGGAGCUAAAUCUGCCUGGAGAACUCUGGAAAUCAGUGUGGAACACAUACUUCAGCAUCAUCUCAGCUAAUGGACAAGUAAGCUUUCUGACUGAAGCCCAUGUUUUGACUGGAGCACCUUGAUUAAACAGAAGACCCUCUGAGGAAACACCACAGACAAAAGUGUACAUGGUAAAUAUUCCUCCAAGAUUUCCCAAAGGAUCAUAUGGCUGUUUUCCAUCAUGAUAGAAAGCAAGAAGAAAAUAUAAAAUAAGCUUUCAGCAAUUUAAAAUGCAGCAGAAGGAGUUACAUGCCAUUUUCCAGAAAAAAAUAUCAACCUGUAGCAGAUUUGCAAUCUGAACCUGAGCUCUGCAUGGACAUUGCCAAACUUCAAGCCAGCAAAUCAAGCUGAGAGAACAUCUCCUGAGGUCCCUGCCUCCUGCCUCACAUCUCGUACAUCUUGAUUACCUUGCUGAGGCUGCUCUAUUGACCUUAAGCCAGCCUCACAGCAGAGAAAAGAUUUCCAGAAAGACUUUUAUUUAUCAUUCUGUGGAAGGAAACUUUGGCUAUAGUUGAUGAGAAUUAAUUUGUCUCCCUUGUCACCUCCAUGCAAAAUGCAAUUCUGAAUAGUUUCUUAGUAGAUGGUCCAGAGACUUCAAGAGAUCUAGCAAUUAGCUCUUAGCAAGUGGAUGCUUUAGUAAGUGGCUUUGACAUAGCCUCAAAUGUUUCUAUGUCCUUUCAUAACUUAAUCCUAGCCUUGUCUUGCUCUCCUGUUAUUUAGAAUUGCAUGCAAACCUAGUAUCAGGCUCUGCUUUCAGGUGAAGCUGGGCUAUAUAUAUAUAUAUAUAUAUAUAUAUAUAUAAUUUUUUUUUGCAUAUUGACACUCUAAAAGUGUUACAGCAGCAUACCCCUUCCCUGUGUUCAAGGCAAUUUGAUAACUUAUUUCCAUGCCGAGCUCAUUGAGAGCUCAUUAUGAACAUAUUCUGAAGAGAGAGGGUCCCAUCUGAAGUGUCAUGAAGAUGCCAUCCUGUUCCUAAAGACAUUCAUUCAUUGGUAUGCAUCUGAAAUUAGAAUUAUGAUGAAAAUAAAAAUAAUACUGUGUGAAUUUCUAUGCCAAGAUGUUAUAUAUUUUGCUAAAUUUAUUCCUCAUAUUCAAUGUGUAUAAUGCUAUGUGAUUGGUAGCAUAAAAUAGCUUUGUUAUUA